GCUUUCAAAGGAUAAUAGCAAUCCAAUGGUCUUAGGAGCCAUUCAUCUUGGUGCAAAUCCAAGUGAAAGCA
rnacentral:tRNA from 2 species